GGAUUGUGGCUUAGCGGUAGAGCGCUCGCCUAGCACGUGCAAGGCCCUGGGUUCAAUCCUCAGCACCCCA
rnacentral:tRNA from 1 species